rnacentral:lncRNA from 1 species
CAUGAUUGAUGAUCUUGUUGAAUUAACAGUGUGGCACUGGUACCCGCGCUCGUAGAUGCUGCACAUCGGUGUGUUGGUUAAUCCAAACCGCCGAACACCUGGUGGGCGGCGAAGUGAAGACCUGGACGUUGAUGAACCCUUGACAAUCAAGAAGACGACUUGUUCGCAACAGACAUGGAUCGGCUUCCCCAGCGGUGUAGC